UAUGGCAGCUGUGCCAUGUUUCGCGUUAGAACAAAAGAAAUAAAACAUGUAGGUCCUGCAGAGAGCGUUGGGAAACUCUGUGGAAUGCCAAUGGUAUCUGUAAACAUUGUUUGUCAAAAUUUAAAUUGUUCAUUUGAUAUUGAUUACCCCUCAGGGUCAUUUUACAUGACCUACAUUAGGUAUACUUAGUAUAAUCUUAUAUCUCUUAAUAAUUAAUUUGUAUUUGUAUUUAUAUAAUAUGUGUUGCCGGCGCGCAUCCCACUGUACUGGCAACGCUUUUGGAUGCACUACCACAAGAAGACAUAGUUGUACCUAAAUGGAAUCUACUGAUAGGGAAGCUGUCAGAUAUGAUGAUAAGCGAGAUGGAAAGGAGUAAAAGGAUGAGGAGUUGAAUGAAAAGAAAACCUAAAAACUAGAUAUACAAUGAAUUGUGAGCUUAUUGAAUUCGCUAUUAUUGAAGUUAAAGCUAAAGUUAGUUGCUGAUAAAUCUUAAAUCUAAUGUUAGUCGUUGUUAAAACUUAAAUCUACUUGAGAGUACGGUAAGAAGUGAAGUUAUUAAUAACAUACAGUAUAAUAUAAGCUAAAACAGUUUUCCCGAUAGUGUGCCCCACCCGAACGAACAGUAUCUCGAAGUUGGCGUCUUGAUUAGUCGAAUACAUUGAACAUAAAAUUAAAUAAAACGUUGGUACCGUCACGCAACAAUUACCGGCAGCAAUAUUAUGACUGCCAUGCUAGGAGCGCAGUAAAUGUGAGUAGCAAUUAAAGUAAGAUAUUUUAAGGCAAAUCAAUAUCUCUAACCAUUCUAACAGGAAUUUUGUAAUCCCCCGGCUUAAA